rnacentral:rRNA from 1 species
UACAGAGGUCUCAAGCGUUGUUCGGAUUCAUUGGGCGUAAAGGGUGCGUAGGCGGCGCGGUAAGUCGGGUGUGAAAUCUCGGAGCUUAACUCCGAAACUGCAUUCGAUACUGCCGUGCUUGAGGACUGGAGAGGAGACUGGAAUUUACGGUGUAGCGGUGAAAUGCGUAGAUAUUCGCAAGAACACCAGUGGCGAAGGCGGCCAACUGGUCCGAUACUGACGCUGAGGCGCGAAAGCGUGGGGAGCAAACAGG